rnacentral:lncRNA from 1 species
GACUUGUUCGAAACAUGCUAUCAUUCACUGUAUAACUUAAGUUCUCCAUAUCUUACUUAGUCAUAUGAGUGUCACACGUUUAUUAACUUUGGAAUUAUCUAUGUGAUUUUGAUUAAGUGUUUAACGUGAAAGCCAUGAGUUUGGAGUCUCUGAGACAACAGUUAGGAGCAAUAGAGGACUAGCAAAAGCUAAGUGUGGGGGAAUUUGAUAGG